GUCCAAUCCUGCAUGCUUCUUGCUCCACUGUUAUUCUUCUUUGUGGCAAUGACCUGGAUCAGAAAACACGUUCAGCUAGGAACUAGCCAGGCUAAAAUGAAAGAAAAAAAAGAGAAAAAAUCACAAACUUGGAGCAAGGCCAGGCUGAAGAUUCUGCAGCUCAAAGCUCGUAGGAAUAGGCAGCACAGGGCAGUCACAAUUUGCCCAUGAAGACCUAGGAGGGAAUCAGGCGAACAAAUGGAUCAUGGGGACAUACUUCAAAAGCCAGCUUCUCUCCCUGAAGGAGUCGACUCCCUGCACCAGUGACUUUGUGGGAGCUUCCCUGCUUCAGUGCAUUAGCAUUAUUUUCCAUGGGCACAGGCUGGGAGAGACAGGUUUCUUCACUUUCUACUGUAUCUGCAUGAGAACAGCCUUCAGGAGGAACGCUGAGACACCACAGACUUCGCAUGUAACAGCUUUGGUGUGGGAACUGCGAUCACCGCUCCGUAAGGCUUUGGCUGCCUUCCCAGCUCGCGGGUGUUGAAGUUCUCGGGGUGUCCUUGCACAGGAGUUGGAGGCGAUUUAUAGCUCGUGUGUUGGGAAACAGCGUUCGUGCAAAUCAUUUUUCUUAGAUAAGUGGGAAAUCUGGAGUCUUUUGGGACUUUUGGGUAGAAAGGCUUUAGCUUUUAUUUUCUUUAGAAGAAAUAACGCAGUGCUCCCACUCCUCGUAUUCAAAGUAGGAAGCAUUUAUGUUUUGGAAGACUUUUAUCUCUGACAAACUGAAUAAGAGAAACAAAAGAAUUAGCCUGAGCUGCCACCUCCUCCCAGACACCCCGAGCAGUCCUUUUAAUGGAUGGUUUUUGCUUUUAGAUGAUAUACAAACUGUCUUUUUAGUUGUCCUUCAAGGCUGAGGCCCUGGCUCCCCAAAGUGCAGCGGUGCUUCCAGCGGCUGAUGCACAGCACUGACGGGCGGCAGGGAGAGACCUGCGUGGAGAGUUUCCGUCAGGCUGCGGCCAUCAGUGUGAGGCUGCUGGGCCGGCUCCAGCCAGCCUGCGUGAUAUUUCCUCUGGAGCUUCAGUCGGAUUAGAUAUUCAUCUUCUCUUCCUGUUCCAAACCGUUGUUUAGUGUUGAUGUGUCCUCUCGUGCUGUUGCCAAGUUCCACGCAGUGGUGGUAAAGGCAGUCCUACAUCUAUGCUGAGAUUAUUAAACUCUUGGGGAAGUUUAACCCUUUCUCUCCAUUGAAGUUAGUGGGACUUAUGCACCUAAAUCUCUUCAACUGCUUUGCAGAUUCCAGUACCACAACAACCUAAAGCCCAGGCUCAGCAGCAGUGGAUCCAGACCUGCUCCCCAGGCUGGGGAUGCUCACCACAAUGGUUUCCCUUCUGGUAAGGGAGCUCGCCAUGCCUGGGCUGCCUGCAACUUGCUUUCCUGCAGAGUGACUUCAACCUGCCCACAGCACCUUGCACGUGAUCCUUGUAUGUGGAGCUUUGCCUUCCAGACUGCACUGUGCCCUUCAAUAUUGUGGUGCUGUUGGCUGGCCUCUACACCAGGAUAGCUGUUACAGCUCUUCUCGUGCCCCACUUUGGACAGAAGCCCGGCAAAAUGACUGUCUCACCAGUGAAGUAAUGAAGGGUGCUGCAGGGAAAUCUUAACACCGUGCCUCAGAAGGACUGGGCUCUUCUCUGUCUGCCUGACUCUGUAAAGAAAUGACCAUGGAGAAGUGUUUCUCGGUGAUGAAUUUCACACAGAAAUCAGAUCCAAGGUCGUCUUCUUCUCUGGCAGGUCUGUGAUUUGGGGCCAGCCCUGAGGAAAUUCUGUCCUCUGCACGUGAGCAUAAGUCAAAACGGGAAGCGGUUCAGCAGAAGUCAGGAACGCUUCCACCGCAAUAAAUGAAAGCGUAAAUUAAAGCAGCUUCAAGGAGCAGCCGUGGCCUUAACACCACGUCUGAAAGGCUCAGUGCUUGCAGACUCAUAGAAAAAAUGGGUUUGGAAAGAUCUGUAGGCAUCCGGAUGAACCAUCUGCUCAGAGCUAACUUCCAAGCUUGAUGGGAGCCAUGCAGGGUAUUACCAGCUGGGUUUGCAAAACCAAAUGCCGUGGAGAAGGGAGUCCUUCUGUCUCAGGAGCAUUGUCACUUGCAGAUGAGCUGUGCCUAGCUUGGGGAUUUAUUGUUAAUUUUGCUCCUGUCUCAAAAGCCUUCGAUCACUCAGGCAAAUUAGAAGCCACAUAAUAAAGAAGAGAUCGGUCAUUCCCUCUCUCCUCCUCUCCCUUGAGCCUGUGCUAAUCGCUUAAAUAAUUCUUCUUAUCUCUAACCAUCCUUUUUUUAUUCUCUUCAAAGCAUCCUUUGGGAAAUGUACUCCAAAGACAGAGCUGAGAGUCUGGCAGCAAAUAAACCGAGUUUCAGUUCCAUCCCUUUUUCCUCUGUAGACCAGGGAGCCCCAGGGGGAUGGGAGUACCUGAGCAGUGUGGGGACCUGAUGGUGGGUGCCUGAGCUCAGAGCCCAUUGCCCUGAUUGAGGCUCUGGCGCAGUGAGGAAGAUCUGGGCAUAAUAUAGUGCACACUCUGUUCUGCAGUCUAGUCUGCUGCUCACUGCUAGGUUUACAGAGAAGAAAGCUGCUGCAUGCCAAAAUUACAUAAAUUCUGCUGGUUUCCUAUAGCCUAAGCCUCACAUUCACUAGGUAUGAUUACCUCAUGCUCACCUCUGCACCUGGGGAGUACACAAGGCCAACAAACAAGCCGAGCCAGAAAAAAGCUUCCUGGUUCCUGACAUCACUUUGCUUAUUCAGUGAAACGUGGUGUGCGAGGUCGGGGCGGGGGCACGUGGGGCUGCUGGGCGCAGUGCUUGUUUGUUGGGCUCAGCCUGGCCCUGGUGGGCUCUGCCAGGUGAGCUCUGGUUGCAGGAGGGCAGUGAGGGCAGUGUCACUCUGGGGGAGCACGAGCUGUUCCCUACUCACGUGGGCAAUGCUGCUCAGGAGGGUGAAACAUGAGCUUUUCUUCGCUGGAGGGCGGCAGGUGACGGUCAUGAACCACGACCAGGGCAGGAAAACCUCCGCAGAUAAAGAAGUGCCUUUUCAGCCCAAACAAGGGGUUUCAUAGACAAUUUUUAUUUGUUUUAGAAUUUGUGUUUCCCCGUGAAAACUUGAUAGAUUUUCCUUUUUAAAUCAAAAUAUCUUUUCAAGGGAAACAAGACCUCAUUUACCUUCCUCUGCGUAAAGCUUGCUGUCUUCUUCAGCUGUCCCAUGAGCUUGUAGGUAGAAGUUAGCACACAUUAUAUGGAACAGAAAGAUGAUCUAUAGUAAGGACCGCUGUGUUUUCAUUUGUAUGCGCUCCAUUCUUACGUGAUGCUUUGAGCCAAGUGAUGCUGGAGGCAGCAGGAAGGUGGGACAGGCUCAAGGCUCGCUGUCUUUAACUGCAGGUUUCACAAUACAAAGGAGCCGCACCAAUGAGGGAGGCACCACUGAUGCCUGGGCUCUGGCGUGCUCUCACUUUGCCAGACACCCAAAACCCAUGUGUGAGUGAGGCACUGUAGUGUCUCAACCACAGGUUGUGUCAUAAAGCAAAAUCCAUCCGCAUUUCCUCAGUUCCAGCCUUCGGGAACUGUUGGCUUUCCUUUCACCCGUCUGUCUGCCUUCCCGGCUAUUGCUCCAAAGCGCUCUGCCACGCCUUGCUGCUCUAUGCCCUCAUCUAAGUCGUUAAUUAAAUCACUCAGUGGGAGCAUCAAGAUAGUCACGGGAUGGAACGAGUGAUCCCAUUGCUGCCACGGUUGUCCUUCUGCUCCCUCCCCACCCACCUCUUCCAUUUUGCUCCUGUUGUAUCAUGUCUCUGUGGAACAUUACCAUUUCAAGGCAGAGACUGUGCCAUUGUUUUCUGAGAACCACCCAGGAUAGUGAAGGGAGCUCAGUAAUAAUAACUAUUAUUAACACUGUGGUAGAGGGCGGAAUUUGGCUGCUGUAUCCUUUUUGUGUGCAGGGCUUUAUGCUGAGAUACACUGCUCUGCUCUGGCGUGUGCAUGCACUUGGAAAAAAUAGAGCAUAUGGACUUUUCUUCAGUUUCCAAUGUUCCUGAAAGUACUUUUGAGUCAUUGUAGCUUGAAAAUGUCCUUUGCAGCGAGCUCCUCCUAUCCCCAUGCUGUGUGUGUCCCCGGCUGGAUGAGCGGUGCUGCAGGCCACGAGGUGCCCCGUGAUAGCGGCUGUGAACAGGCGGCUGUGCUGCUGCGAGGUGGGGGGCUGGCGGGCACUGAGCAGCUCAGGAGCUGUUGCUGCAGAAGUGGGUCUGUGUGUAGGUCCCACUGCUCCUCAGCCUCAAGUCUCGCCUGUUUUUUUAACAUAAUUGACUUAAUUAGCUCAGUUGAAUGGGGAUUGUACAAUAAAUGGAAUCUACAUGCUUCCUCUGAGGAGUGGUGCUGUACACAGCAACUGGAGCAGCAGUGUUUCUUUAGCCCACACCAAACUCUUGGUUUGUACUGUGACUUGCAAAAGAAAUGAUGUCACUAAUACAAUGACCACUCAUUUCUGUGUUUCUCAGUGGGUCUUCUGACGGGAUCGUUUCAGUGACUGCCCUCCAGCUCAGUAUUUAUUUCAAACAUCAGUUUCACAUCUAGUAAUAGGCAUUUACUUCUUUCUGAUUGUUUUGGUACCUGGUAAAGGGAGCAAAAGGGCAGAACCCUUCAGAAGCAGCAAGCACAUCCAAGUACAUCCAUUAUUGCAUUACCUCUGAUCAGGUUCUUGGAGCUUUGGUCACUUUUUUGUUUUGUUUUGUUUUGUUUUAAUUGAUUUUCUGAGUUAUUGAGGUUUGGAAUACAAAGUGUUCUUUGAUCCUUGGUACUGUUUUUUAAUACCCAAACUGUUUGAUGCUUCCUAUAGCAAAACGACAUCUUGCAGUUCAAUCAUCUCUCCACUACAAAAUGAGGUCUGCAGAAUCCUCUGAUUUGUAUGGCUUAGGGGAGAACUUCCUAUCAGCUGGGACCGGAACUCAGUCUUUGGACCUCUUUUCUUCACCGUGUUUUAAGUCACUGUCUGACUCUUGCCAUUUAAUUAACUUUGUAGCACUUGACAGCAAAACAAGGAUGAUUUUAUGUUCACUCAGGAGGGUUAAGAUGCUUAAUUAGGCUGUGCUUUUGAAGUAGUUCCCUUAAUUCACUGCAGAAGAUCGGUGUAUUCAUGUAUAUCACAUGCACUGCAUUUAAAUAGGUUUAUACCAAGAGCAUUAGGUGAGUGUAUGCUUUGGAAGAACCUUGUGUGCACCUCUGCCCAUGAUAGCAUUUUGCGUCAGCUCACUUCUUUGAGUCAGAAAUGUAAAUGUGGUAAUCAAUAUCUCCGUGAGCCUGGAAGGCAAAGCCCCACAAUUAACAAUAACGUGCAGGUGAUAAUUAAGCUUGUUUUAUAUGUCCCAGUUCUGGAGGCUGAUAACACAGACAAUCUCAGCUGCCUGGUCAUAGCUGAUAUUUGGGGACGGGCAGCAAGGAAGCUAAGAUAUUUUUUAAAAAGAUGAUGUGGUCAUGCAGGAAUGCAGUCAUGUGAAAAGUACCUAUGAUAGAGGGGGAAAAAAUGCUUCAUUCUUCCCUAGCUAGGUCUCUCCAUUUCUUCCCUGUGAUCAACAUAACACAUGUCAGAAACUGAGUUUACGUGGACCAAGACUUGGCACGUUGUACCAGCAAGGCAUUGGCUCCUGGUGAUGUGAGGCGCUGGCAAGGUGCUUGGGCCAGCGAGCAGCCCACACUAGGUGAUAAUUUAUGGCUACCUGUAAUCUCCUCUAAAUAGAAACCAUUUAUAUUCUUGCUAGGGAAGCGAGAAAUGACCAGACAAUGAGAGUUCAGCCAAACCAAACCUUCCUAUAACUCUGCAAAAGGCAAACGCUCUCUGGUACUGACAUUAACAAUGGUAUGGGCUCUUAGAAACCGUACAAUUUCGGUUUUAUUUAUUUUAAUACUGUUUGCCUGUGAAAUUUCAGAAGCUGGCAGUUUAUAAGAGCAGAAGCUGAGUUUUUACUCUUGGAUUUUGAUUCAGUUUCUUUAAAGCACAAGAAAGACUGAGCACCAGCCCAGUGCUGUGCAGCAUUUGUGCCCUCCCAAUGGGUGCUGUGUUGAUAACCCAAAGGUGCAAUACAACAGCCGUUACUCAGUGAUGCUGUCGAGCACUGCAGCAGUGGUGCAGAUGUUAUCCUUGCCCCACCCUGUGGUUUGGCAUCAUGCUGCCCUCCCUGCAAACUCCCAUCUAUGUGCUGGGAGGUAAGGAUGGGUCUGGGGGUGCGCCAGGCCAUGGCCAGUGGGAGCUGUGCUGGAGGCAGUGAGUUUGGGGAAGGUGUUGGGCUUUGAAAAAAGCUGGUAGCCUGAAGGGGCAGCAGAGGCUGCUCUCAGUCCUCCAGGUACUUGGUCUGUGCUGCUGUGCUUGGGUGAAGGCUUCCAACAAUGGGCCUGAGGCCUCCUGUGGGAUCUGAUCACAUCAGGUCUUUGGGGGAUGCGCUUUGGUAAAUCAGAAAGUGAGCUCUCCACUCACAGGCCCUCUUCUCUCUCUAAGAUUUAGUAUGUCCAUAGUUGGCACCCAAAUGCUACGGUGUGAGUAUAGGCAUGCACUGAACUAACAGAUCCAGCUGGAGAAUCUCAGUUUGGAUCUACCUGUUUCUUGAACCUGGCUUAUUUAUAAGCUGAGAUCAAGGAUUCCACAUGACAUUUCCCCAAUCCCAUGGGUGCUAUGCCUAUUUCUGGUAUGAGCUAUUCUCUGCCCUGUCUGUCUGUAUGUGUUAUUUAUCUUUGCACAUGUGCCUAGCUUCAUGUUAUUAUUUAUGAAUGCUCCUCAUCAUUCUCCCAAAGAGAGCCCAACACUGCAAGGGGGCAGGGACUCUGUUUCUUACACACAGUAACUCAGUACAGCCUUUAGGCAUCACUGAAACUCAAAGCAUUCAUUCCAUUGAGUUUAGCCAGUAAAAAGCACUUCACCUGUCUCACACUUCUUGGAGUUUUACUGAUUUCCCUUCUGUGGAGCAACAACUUCACCACAAUUCUUCCCUUCUCUCUCUUUUAAAGUUUUCUUUUUUUUCUUUCUUUCUUUCUUUUUUUUUUUUUUUUUUUUUGCUAACUGUUAAGCAAUUCCACCUGGAGAUGUGAGAACUUCACAGGCUGUAAAGCUUACAUCCUGCAAAUCUCCUUAUCCAGUAUUAAAAACAUCUAAAGGAGUGGAAGCACUGCUGAAAUAUAUUGUUAUGCUUAGGAAUGGACACAGGGAUGAGAUUUGCUCAACAAAAUAAUCUUUAUGGUUUUAGGAAUGGCACAGUGAAUUAAUAUGAAUCCAAUGGAAUUAUAGAAAUUACCUUCUACAGAAACAACUACUUUACAACAGUGAAGUUAAAGUCAUGAAAAAUAUCUUAAAAGCAGUUACUGUGAAAGUCCUUCUCUCCCCACAGUGACGUUUGCAAAGGGGAGACAUCUGUUUCUCAUGUAAAUUAAUACUUACACUUAAGAUACACAAUAGAAAUAUUUAUCAAAAAUAGGAUAAUGGCAAAGACUGAAAGGAUUGGUUUACGCACCCAUAGUGGAGGCAAGACAACACUUGCAAAUUGCGUAGAAGCACACUGAUCUUAAGUUGAAAUACUCUGUAUAAGCAUGGGAUUAUUCGUGUCUGUGUGUUUGUAUAUGCAUUUGUGUCUACGUACUUAGUAAUUGUUUCUAAUAGGUUAUGGUUUUGGAAAUACUAGCCUGUGCAAUACUAGUCCCAUCCUCAUAUUUACGUAAAACGUUUGCCAUUUUUCAUUGGCUUUAGUUCUUGUUAACUUAUGGAAAAGCUUUCUAGCUACACUUCCAUGCUCCGUUGUACCCUGCCAUCACCACAGCCAUACAGUGUGGUGCUCCCAGACUUCUGUUUGAAACAAAGAUGUAAUGCAGAGCCAAGGAACUGCAUGAUGUAAAUCUGCAGAGUAUCCCAGUCCCUAUCACAGGCUUAUAUCUCCACUUGAUGAGUACUGAAAACCAAAGCCUGAUGUCAUGUGUGCAUUCUCAAAGGAACGAAGAAGAGCAUGUGAGCGUGUAGUUGUGUUACUGAAACAUCACCAUGUCUGUGCUGAACUGGAGGCAGCAGCAUGCAGAGCUUUGUGGUUCUCUAUGCCUUAAAGGAAAACCUUAUAACAUGUUUUUCUUCAUGUUGCCAUAACACUUUGUAUCUUAGCAAUAAAUACUGGGUAGAUUUAGUGUUAUCGCAAGAAAUUUGUGCUCCGGAGAUUUACUGUUCCACUCCCACAGCACCUUUAAACCCCACAUCAGUGGUAGGACAGCAAUUCCUGGCCGCCGUUAGGACCAAUUUACCUCAUUUCCUCUGUUUCAGCAAAGUGAGAUCGAAGAGGUUAGAAAAAUAACAAACAUAAAAACAGGAGGAAAGCUAUUGCUAACCUCUGCGUGUAACAGAGUCACACUUCAGAACAAGCCCAAAGGGUUCUGCUUGGCGGAGGCGAGGGGAAAUCUUUGUACUGCUGGGCUCACAUUGCUGCUUGUCGCUGUUGUCAUGUCUCAUCUGGGUGUCUUUAACAUGAAAUAAAAUAUUACCAUGCUAAGGACCAAAAAAGUGAGAAAUGCACUCAUCUGUGUCCCUGACUUGUGCCAAAGAAUUUUUCAUUCCUACCUCAGCUCUAAUGUGAAAUGUGUUAAAUGAAAAUCUCCAGGAGAGUAUCCAGAAUAGAUAGGCAUGUUUAGGUCAGCAUACCAUUUGGCAUUGCCAUG
ensembl:lncRNA